rnacentral:misc_RNA from 1 species
GAUGAAGAACGUAGCGAAAUGCGAUAAGUAAUGUGAAUUGCAGAAUUCAGUGAAUCAUCGAAUCUUUGAACGCACCUUGCGCUCCUUGGUAUUCCGAGGAGCAUGCCUGUUUGUGUGUCAUGAAAUUCUCAACCUUUCUGGCUUUUGCUAGUCAGGCUUGGAUUAUGGGAGCUGCUGGCUUUUGAAGUCGGCUCUUCUAAAAUGUAUUAGCAAGAUCAUUGCUGCUCAUCAUUGGUAUGAUAAUUAUCUAUAUCAUUGAGAGUCAGUUUCCUUUAUUGGAAGAUUUUGCUCCUAACGGUCUUUAGCAAGACAACAUUUGACGAUUUUGACCUCAAAUCAGGUAGGACUACCCGCUGAACUUAAGCAUAUCAAUAAGCGGAGGA